CCCUCCCCAGCACCAUGCUGCCGGCUCCUGGGGGCUGCGUGGGGAAAGUCCCCUCCCUGGGGACACGGUGACGACGGCGGGCACCUGGUGGGGGAGGACGUGGCUCACCCCAAAUUGCAGACGAAGGGGAAGGAAGCAGGAUGGUGGCGUGCCAGAAGGAUGCUGCCCACCUCCAGGCCUAUCACACACCCAUGGCCGGGGUGUCCCACGUCCCCAGGGGGCUUUGCAAAGAGGUGACGGGGUGGCGGAGGAGCAGCAGCCGGGGCAGGGCUGAGGGGUGCAGGAGGAAACGGGGAGCCCCCCACGGCUCUCACCGCCCCACGCAGGUGGCACCAGCACCUCUUCCUCGCUGUGACAACUUUGUGCAGUUUCCCUGAAGCAGCACAUUUUGGGGAGCCGGGCUGCAGGGUGUGUGGAGGGGGGGGAGCGUGGGGGGAAGCGACGCAAGCCCCAGCACCAGUCAGCGCAAAUGAAGCCUUUUAAAAGGAAAUCAAAUUAAUUAAACCCUCUGCACAAGAUGUAAACGAAACCUGGCUUCUGGCAGCUCCAGGCCCUGCGAGGCACUUGCAGGCGCUCUGCAAACGGGGAGCUGUGCCUGCAGAGCGGCCGCCGCCGCCAGGAAGACGGGCAGCACACAGACGGGCCCGGCGCUGCGGGUGUCCCCUGCUCUCAAAGAUGCUCACACCGUGGGCAGCACACGUCCCUGCUCCCCCAAAAUCCCAGCCCAGGAUGCGUGGUCGCACCACGCCGUGCAGCCGGCAGAUUUGGGCAUCCCUUGUCCGUGGGUGCCCCGGGCCGUGCCCCAAACCGGGACGCUUUCGGCCACCCCACGCGGGGAGCACGGCGGGUUUCCCUAGGGCACAUCCCGAUUUGUUUCCCUUUCCAUGCAGCCCCACCACGAGCAGCCCCCGGCUGGGUGGGCACCGCAGGGGUGCCUGCGCUCCCCGGGGAGUCAGGGACCCCCGAGCCCUGCCCGCUGCCCUGAGCGGCCCCUGGCCCCACUGGGGACCUGCAGCCCCCCCCCAGGGCCCCAGCCGUCAGCUGCCGGUCAGCUGGAGCCAGGGUGGCGGGAGAGGGAGGUUAUGCUGAUUUUCCUCAAAAAAAAAAGAAAAAAAAAAAAGAAAAAAAAAAAGGGAAAAAAAGCCCUCUCUGUUUUACAAGCCUUCAUUUGCUAUUGUUUAUGUAAACAGGUAAAUUGUUUCGUAUCUCAAUUAAAAACAUCUGCCAC